rnacentral:lncRNA from 1 species
AUCCACCACGUCGAACUCAAGCACACUCACCACUAUGCGGAAUCCACCAACACAAUGGUUGAGCAACACUCUUCUCUCACAGGAAAUCCACCUAAGAGAUAGGAGCAAGAAGAAAUCCUUCUUCUCAAAUAAAAGUAGAAACUUCAACUCAACUUGACUUGUUUUUCAUUAUAAAAAUCAUUACAUAUUUAUAGGCUCUCAAAUGACCCUUCAUCUUCUCUACACAUUAAUGCACUCUUUAAUUUCAUAGAGAAACUAAAAGGCACUUUCAGAAAUACUAAAAGACACACAAAUCUAGACUAUCAUAACUCAUUUUAAGAAAACGAAAAGACAAUUAUAGAAAAACGAAGGGACACACUUAUUUCAAAACAAACAUUUAUUAAGUGAUUAAUG